ACGCUUUUCCUACGUAAAAUUGCGUGAUAAACACAACGCCGUCAAUGAAAUCGGGCUGGCAUUCGGAUUCCUGAGAUCAAAAUACAUGAGGAUAGCGUGGGGAAACCUUCAGAAAAAAUCCCUUGUGAAAAAACAUGCAUUUUUCUAUUUAAUAAAUCCAUGUAAUAUUCUCAAUAA